AUACGUAGGAGGCAAACGUUAUCCGGAUUUACUGGGCGUAAAGCGCGUGCAGGCUGUUCGAUAAGUUGGGCGUGAAAGCUCCCGGCUCAACUGGGAGAGGUCGUUCAAUACUGUCGGACUAGAGGAUGGUAGAGGAAGGUGGAAUUCCGGGUGUAGUGGUGAAAUGCGCAGAUAUCCGGAGGAACACCAGUGGCGAAAGCGGCCUUCUGGACCAUUCCUGACGCUCAGACGCGAAAGCUAGGGUAGCAAACGGGAUUAGAGACCCCGGUAGUCCUAGCUGUAAACGAUGUGAACUUGGCGUCGGUGGGAUUAAAUCCAUCGGUGUCGAAGCUAACGCGAUAAGUUCACCGCCUGAGGACUACGGCCGCAAGGUUAAA
rnacentral:rRNA from 1 species